rnacentral:rRNA from 1 species
AUGAUAACUAGGGAUAACCUUAGGAAGAGACACAUCAUCAAACCCCUUGAUUGUGUUUACUGCUUGGAACAAGAGUCUUGUUCUCACCUAUUUUUUGAAUGUAUAGUUGCUAAACAUCUCUCGGCCCACAUUGAGGAAUAUUUCUCUAGUCAGAUUGGCUCAUCCUUCGAAUCUGUCGCCAGAUUCUGGAUUGCUACCAAAAAGUGCUCAGUUUUAAAUACUGUUAGCUCAGCUGUCCUUUGGUGCCUCUGGAAAUAUAGAAAUGUUAUGAUUUUCAGUAACACCUCCUGGAUUUCCAUUCCGCGGGUCUUGAGGUUGAUCAGGAACAUGGUGAGUGUCGGUGUCAAAACCGUCGGAUCUCGGGUAGGGGGUCCCGAACUGUGCGUCUAA